GACGAACGCUGGCGGCGUGCUUAACACAUGCAAGUCGAACGGAAAGGCCCUGCUUUUGUGGGGUGCUCGAGUGGAGAACGGGUGAGUAACACGUGAGUAACCUGCCCUUGACUUUGGGAUAACUUCAGGAAACUGGGGCUAAUACCGGAUAGGAGCUCCUGCGGCAGGGGGGGGGUUGGAAAGUGUCGGCGGUUGGGGAUGGACUCGCGGCUUAUCAGCCGGUUGGUGGGGGAGUGGCUGACCAAGGCUUUGACGGGUAGCCGGCCUGAGAGGGUGACCGGCCACAUUGGGACUGCGAUACGGCCCAGACUCCUACGGGAGGCAGCAGUGGGGAAUAUUGCACAAUGGGCGGAAGCCUGAUGCAGCAACGCCGCGUGCGGGAUGACGGCCUUCGGGUUGUAGACCGCUUUCGCCUGUGACGAAGCGUGAGUGACGGUAAUGGGUAAAGAAGCACCGGCUAACUACGUG
rnacentral:rRNA from 1 species